rnacentral:lncRNA from 1 species
GUUUUUUCAUUGGGGGGAUGAAGAGGAAAUUUCUGGUUGUGUCAUGUGAUGCAGACUCAUGAUGUUUGCUGGAUGCUGCCACUGCUGCUGAUUCCUGUUUGGUGACACACCUUGAACUGGGCAGUUGGUAUCCUGACACCACUGAACUGGACUGCUGCUAUCCUGACAACAAAAAUUGGGAUCACACCAAAAACCUGCUUCUAAACAGAAGAAGACUUGUUUUGCCUUCUGGGUCACUGUCAUCAUUUCUGAUAUUGUGCCAACACAUCCUUCUGCAUUGGGGGCUGGGAAUGUCAGGGCAGGCACAGACAGUCAGUGGAAACAGAAAAGUUCCACAGGGCACAAGAGUCCAUAGAAAGGUUUUGACGAGCGGAGUGGCCAGAGGCCGUGGUGCCGACUAUCUGCUGUGCAGUGCACUGCCUUGUUUGACGAAUCGUUUGCCAAAGAGCCUGGCCAGCGGGAGCUUUGACCUUGGAGGGAGAGUGAUCUGUCUUCAUGGAGACACGCUGUCAUAAGCACAUGUCUCAAUUGCACCUGGGAAGGUGCUGAGGCUGCGCUAGAUGAGAGCCUUGGACACUGCUAAGGAGGAAAAAUGUGUGGUCCAUCCGUGGGCAUGGAAGCAGCAAAAAUUAACCCAGAGUGACCCAGCAGGACAGGCUGGAAUUCAUAUUCCCCUCCAGUGGCCAAGCAUUCUCCACAAGGCUCAAUGCACAGUCAGUCGUUCCUUGGGGAGCCACAGUGUCCCUCACCUCCCAACUUCCAACACCAGGCUCUUUAUCCUCACCAAGGACAAAGGGAACAGAGUUCUUCAUUGGUCACCAAGAACAAAGGACAGAGACAAUC